rnacentral:tRNA from 1 species
CAGAAUAUAGCUUAAUUUAAAGCUCUUCGCUUACACCGAAACCAUAUUUGUGAAAACCAAAUUAUUCUGA